GGGUGGCUAUGAUGCUGGUUUUCUAUAUCACUGUGAAUUUCCCUUAUGUGACAAAAGCAGCAAUUUUGAAGAACAGAGAGAUGAACCUUUUGAUUUCCGUUUUCUUGAGGAUACAGAAGAAAAUCCCAUCCAAACUAUUAUUUUCAGCUUUAGCCAAACAAUGAUGUUUUGUGGAAUGAGAAAUGGAGCCAUUAGAGUGUAUA
rnacentral:lncRNA from 1 species